rnacentral:rRNA from 1 species
UACAGAGGGUGCGAGCGUUGUCCGGAAUCACUGGGCGUAAAGGGCGCGUAGGUGGCGACCCAAGUCGAUGGUGAAAGCUCGCCGCUCAACGGCGAGUCGGCCACCGAUACUGGGUUGCUCGAGCACUGUAGAGGCUAAUGGAAUUCCGGGUGUAGCGGUGGAAUGCGUAGAGAUCCGGAAGAACACCGGUGGCGAAGGCGGUUAGCUGGGCAGUUGCUGACACUGAGGCGCGGACAGCGUGGGGAGCAAACAGGG